rnacentral:rRNA from 1 species
CCAAGGAGUUUAGCGUGUGCGCGAGUCAUUGGGUGUCAAAACCUAAAGGCGUAAUGAAAGUGAAGGAAACAUCGCUUUUCGAGGGAGGAUGGGUUAGGUCCCUUCAUUGGGCCGGCCUCGCACUCCCGGGGCGUCUCUAUCUCAUCGCGAGAGGAGGCGCACCCAGAGCGCACACGCUGAUACCCGAAAGAUGGUGAACUAUGCCUGGCCAGGACGAAGCCAGGGGAAACCCUGGUGGAGGUCCGCAGCGAUUCUGACGUGCAAAUCGAUCGUCGGAGCUGGGUUUAGGGGCGAAAGACCAAUCGAACCAUCUAGUAGCUGGUUCCCUCUGAAGUUUCCCUCAGGAUAGCUUGCGCUCGAACGAAACGAGUCUCAUCCGGUAGAGCGAAUGAUUAGAGGCCUUGGGGUCGAAACGACCUCAACCUAUUCUCAAACUCCAAAUAGAUGAGAACCCCGGCUUUCUUGAACUCUGUUUAUGAAGCCGGGGGCUUGGAUCAGAGUGCCAAGUGGGCCAAUUUU